GAUGAACGCUAGCUACAGGCUUAACACAUGCAAGUCGAGGGGCAGCAUGAACUUAGCUUGCUAAGUUUGAUGGCGACCGGCGCACGGGUGCGUAACGCGUAUCCAACCUGCCAUGUACUCCGGUAUAUGCCCGUCUGAAAGGAGGAUUAAUCCCGGAUGUGGUUGUUGAGGACAUCUGAUUUUCAACCAAAUAUUCUCCGCCCUCAUCGAUGGGGAUGCGUCUGAUUCUGCUUUGUCGGCGGGGUAACGGCCCACCGCCGGCGACGAUCAGUAGGGGUUCUGAGAGGAAGGUCCCCCACAUUGGAACUGAGACACGGUCCAAACUCCUACGGGGAGGCAGCAGUGAGGAUUAUUGGGUCAAUGGACGAAAGUCUGAACCAGCCAAGUAGGCGUUGCAGGAUGACGGCCCUAUGGGGUUGUAAACUGGCUUUUAUAUAAGGGAUAAGUGCACCUACGUGGUAGUUGUUUUUGGAGGUACUAUAUGGAUUAAGGAACCGGGCUUAAUUCCGUUGCCAGCAGGCGGCGGGUUAAUUACGGGAAGGGUCCCGGGGGCGUUAUCCUGGGAAUUUUAUUGGGUUUUUAAAGGAAUGCCAGGCUGAUGUAUUAAUCGUGACUGUAAUGGUAUGCGUCUCACAGGUGUUGAAACUGUGGUUUCU
rnacentral:rRNA from 1 species